CAUAUAUAUUGAUUCUCUCUCACACACAAAAUUCUCUGCCCAAAUGUGUUCAAAUAUUGAUUCGUUUAGAUCAAAUCCAUUAAAUCCAUCAAAUUUCUUUGCCCAAUAUCCUCAAAUUUCAGCUCUCCAUAGCUCAGUUCGUGUGAAAAUUUCAGAGGAUAGAAAUUUUGAUCUUUUAAGCUCAACUCAGUGAUAAAAAUGAAAAUUUCAGUGACUAGAAUGAAAAUUUCAGCUUAGCUAAGUGCUAAAUGAUUAAAGUAGAAAUUUCUGCGUAGGUUCUUAUUUUUUGAACGCUGUCCUAAUUACAAAUACUAUGAAUAUCGACAUAGCAAAGAGGAAAAUGCUCUAUCAUAGACCAGCAAAUUCCAAACAUUUCAAAGAGUUACUAGUACCGCCACUCCUAGUUCAACAAGCAGCUCUCAUAGGUCACGGCAACGACAUUUGCAUUAGCAUACAACAACAUUUGCAUUACCAUACUCUUACAUCAGCAUUGUAUGAAACAACAGACAAUACACAUUCUUCGUAGUCGGCUAGAAAAUAUGAUAUAGACUACUAUUUCAAUACUAAUUGAGACCAAAUUUGAUGAUUUUGUACAACUACCACCAGACAUUCAAUGGUCUGUAGUGAC